rnacentral:rRNA from 1 species
AUUAUUAGAUACCCGGGUAGUCCUAGCCGUAAACGAUACUCGCUAGGUGUCGGCCACGGUGCGACCGUUGUCGGUGCCGUAGGGAAGCCGUGAAGCGAGCCACCUGGGAAGUACGGCCGCAAGGCUGAAACUUAAAGGAAUUGGCGGGGGAGCACCACAACGGGUGGAGCUUGCGGUUUAAUUGGAUUCAACGCCGGAAAUCUUACCGGGACCGACAGCAAUAUGAAGGCCAGGCUGAAGACUUUGCCGGAUUAGCUGAGAGGUGGUGCAUGGCAAU